AGGACGAACGCUGGCGGCGUGCUUAACACAUGCAAGUCACGGGGGCCCGCAAGGGCAACCGGCGAACGGGUGCGUAACACGUGAGCAAUCUGCCGAUCUCUGGGGGAUAGCCAGCCUAACGGCUGGGUAAUACCGCAUACGCUCGUUGGGGGGAGUCCCCUGAUGAGGAAACCUCCGGGGGAGAUCGAGGAGCUCGCGACCUAUCAGCUAGUUGGCGGGGUAACGGCCCACCAAGGCAGCGACGGGUAGCUGGUCUGAGAGGAUGGCCAGCCACAUUGGGACUGCGACACGGCCCAGACUCCUACGGGAGGCAGCAGUGGGGAAUAUUGCGCAAUGGACGAAAGUCUGACGCAGCGACGCCGCGUGUGGGAUGAAGCCGUUUCGGGGUGUAAACCACUGUUGCCCGGGACGAAACUCCUCUUUCGAGAGGAUUGACGGUACCGGGUGAGGAGCACCGGCUAACUCUGCGCCAGCAGCCGCGGUAA
rnacentral:rRNA from 1 species